CACAUACAAAAUCCAGUCCACCCAUACGAGGUGGCUGACCCGCGGUUUGAUGUAACAUCCCAAAAUUUCAAACUUUUACAUACGCAUUGCAUCCAUGAGCAUCAUGCCACAAUUGCAUGUUUGAAUUCAAAUUUGAAUCCCAAAAGGGCUUUGGAAAGAUUUUUAUUUCAAUUUAAACCUUAGGGUUUACACCCAUUUGAGCUUUGGAUCUUCAAACCAAUAGGUUUUAUGUAUAAAAGGGGUUUAAUGCAUAUAUAAGCUAUCCCAUAAUUUUUGGAUAAUUAUUUGGAGUUGAAAACGUAUUUUAUUUAAAUAGAUAUAUAGCCCUAAAGGCAUUUAUAGGGUAAAUGUAUUUUUUUUUUGAGGGGAAACUACUCCCAAAAGUUGUAUCAUGGUAGAACAUGAUUUUACAAAUUUUCUGGAAUUUAUUUGAACCAAUUUGGAGUUCAAAAUCAAAAGAUAUCAAACAAAUAAGGAAAAGGGAAAAAGAAAAGAAAAAAAAGGGGUGAACCGGACCGGUCCGACCGCUUGGACCGAACCGGCCCAGAACCGAUCGAGCCGCCCGACCAAACGACCCCGCCGUCCACGCGCGCGCCCGCUUCCACUGACGGGUGGGGCGCACCUGUCAGGGCCUUCUUCUUCCUCGAAAGGAAACCCCCGCGCC
rnacentral:lncRNA from 1 species